GUGUGCAGCCUCGCAGUUGUUGUUGAUUUUGGAAUAUUUCCUGGACAUUUGUACUUCUACAAUGCCUGUAAACCGGAGGAGAACGCUGGCAUGUAUUCUCCUACUUGAAAGACUACGGGGGGAUGGGGGGAGGAGAAGGAGCCGGUUAUGGGUGCACCCCCUCAACCAGCAAAGGAGACAACAAGGUGAUUUUCAUCACCUCGUGGCCACCAAUAUUUUCGGAUGAGUGCAGAGCAGAUGGAUGAACUUCUGUCCCUCCUGGGCCCUGAACUGACCAGACAAUCCACACAUUUCAGAGCUGCCAUAGAACCCAAGCAUAUUUUUUCUGUGUAUGUAAUACAAUUUAUAAUAAAUAGUUUUGUCUGA